UGGUAGUUACCGAAGAUGCAGUAGCCAUGCAAGCAAGACGUGAUCGAUAAAACUCCAAUCUUUAUGUUUGCCGUGACAAACAGAAAACACCAACUCUUCUGUAAACUCCUAGCUUUAUGACAAUGCUCUAUGGGAAGCCUUAGUUGUCGUGUCUAGGGUUAGCAGGGACCGGUGUUUAUAUAUUAGCCAAAAAGUCUUAGAUUCCAUCCAUAAGGGAAAGCUAAAACUCUCCUUUCUUGGCUCUCAAGUAAAAUAUCAUAAUCAUAUAUUAUUAAGGAUUCCAUCAAUCCUAUUUCCAAUAUAAGACACCUUAUAUAGAAUUGAUAUCUUUAAGAGAUCAAAUCACAAUUAACAUUAUUCUCCAAUAUUACAUUCCUAUUACAUGUAGUAGACCACUUAAAGGUUGAUUUAUAUUGGAUAAAUCCAACAUUCUCCCACUUGGUCUACAAAAUGUAAUAUUCACGUUUAUACUUGAGAUUGGAGACUAAUGUCACUUUAGUGGCCAUGUAACAGUGAUUACAUCUCGUCCUUAAUGCAGCUUCUGUCAAAUGCAUUUCUUAACAUGGAAUUAACAAGGUUGUAGGGUUGACACAACCCAGAACCUUCAUAAUCACUCAUGCUAAGAUCCACAUUUACAUGAAACACAAAUUAUGAUCAAGAGAUGAAACUUUAAAUUAACCAAAAUGUCUUACUUUAUAUCAUCUCAGGUCCACCUUAUUGUAACACACAGGUUACACUUUAUGCUUCUUCAAAGCCUUUAGUUUGCCAAUGCAAAUAUCCUUCAUCUAAUGAAACGACCAUAACCUGCAGGUGUGAAUGCAUCUCCAAAACAAUCAUGCAUCAGUUUCAUUAGAUCAAUAAUAAUACAAACGAUGUUUGUAGCCAACGGACACAACUGAAAAUACCAAAUAGGCACAUGUCCAAGUAAAAAUAUCCCAAAACUUCAUAAAACAAAUUAAUUCAACACUUGUGAGCAAGAUGAAUUAAUAUGUUUUUGACACUGAUCUAUGCACCAUACCAGUUACUUUCAUAGUGAUUUCCAACACCUGCGGGCAAGAUGGAAAUCCUCACAACUGAGCCAGUGCACAAAUCAUGCCAUGCCAUUUAAUAUGCAAUUUGAUAACAACUUGAUAUCUGAUAUAUAUUUUAUCAGAUUAUUGACUAGCACACGAAAAAUGUGACUUAAUGAAUCCAACUGGAGAUUAAAAUGAAUACAUGGAUUUCUAUACAUACCUUAUAGGUCAUCUGCAACUAUAAGGCAUUACUAACACGAAACUCAAACUCCCACUGAUCUGCAACAUCGUUACUUAAUUUGCAAAUCAAUACUUGAAUCAUACUUUUGAAAAUAUGCCUUUGGGAGUAGCCUUACUUAGUCAAUGAAUGCAUAUUACCUCGAUGAAAAGUACAACUAAGCUUGAAAGCAUUCACUGCUGUUACACAAAACAUGUAUCCAACAACCAUCUUAUAUGUAUUAAUAAGUCCACAUUUAUGCUAAGUCCUUAUGAGCCCCAAAAUAAAUGAUCAACCAAGAAAUCCAAAUGAUUGCAAAUAAUAGAAAAUGUACGCAUAUACCAAGUAUCCAUUCGUGCAACUUAAACAUUAUUAUAGACAUUCAAGUAACACAAAUUCAUGGAAGAUAGAAUAAUGCUUUAAUAGAUUCAUGCAAGUCCACUUAGUGCUCAAAAUUUUAGAACAACUCCCACUAAGUUUUCAGAGUUUAUACUUGCAAAUAAGUUAAUGAGUGUGAAGCCCAAUUUUCGUUCACUAAUUCUCCCACUUGGGCAAACACUCGUUAAUAUAUUCUUUCAAAGAUGUUCCUAAGGAAAAUUGCUCUAUAUUUUAGACAUAAUAAAAUAGACAUCUCAACCAACAUAAAGUUGUCAAACAGAAUUUUAGCAACGAGUUACACUUACUUUAGAAUUAAUCAUAAUUAAUUUAUUAGCUUGAUUGCUACCGAAUUUAUACUAAUCAAAAUAGACAUACUAAUCUUCAUAAAAUAAAAUUAUAGAGCCGUUUUGGGUCAAAAUAGUAGUCUAAAGUCACGUCUCAAAAAGACCAACACAAUCUGCCAGUAAAACUGUCUAUACGAUCAUGGGUUACUAGUAACUUCACCAUAAUUAACAUACAUGGCAGAAAAUUACGAAAAUUCGCAGACACAUAGUAGACAUCUAUAUGUUGAACAUAUCCAAAAUUCAGGUCAUUUGGUGACCAUUAGACAUGUCAUUCACCGGAUUUAAAUCAAGACACGCAAUCUGCCAGAAACAAUUAUGUGCAUCUAUCAUGAAUCACAAAUUCAAUUUCAUAUCAUUUCAAUUUCGAUGUCCAAAAGAAACUUUAGUAGUCAAAUUUCAUCCUCUAAACCGACAUCAUAGUUCAAAUUGAAAAGAUUUUCAAGCAUAAGACUUAAACAAUGCGUACCUUAGCAAUCCUUGAUUAACCUUCAUGGGUCCAAUACUUUGCAUCAACAAGUCUCAUAAAGAGAUACAAAAUACAUCAUGAUGCAACCGAUUUCCAUGCCUUCAAACCACAACCUUUUAUGGGGCUCAUUGUGGAAAUAUUUGUCACUAAUGGCAUGGAACUUUAUCCCAAUAAACUUCAUGAAACUAAAUUAAUUUACACAUGUAGGCAAGAAAAUUAACUAGUUUCUAGUACUAGAUUUUAUAUCACAAAAGUUCCUUCAGGAAAAACUUCAACACCUGUAGGCAAGAUGAAGGUUUUCACAACUUCUGUGAAAUAAAACUCAUACUAUGCCAUCUUAAUUAAACUAAAAGAAGUAAUCCACACCUGUAGGCAAGAAGAUUAUCCCUUUUAUUCUAAUUAAGAUGCAAAGUUGACCGAAGUAACUCAAAAAUACAGUCUCAUCAUCAACUGAGCCGUUGCGGCUUCCUUUAGUUGAAAAGACAUUUAUCAACUCCGUCCUGAAACAAUGCAAAAGUCACAUGGAUUAAUUAACUGUAAGUGACAAAAUUAUGAUAACCUGAUUCAAGCGUCGAGUCCUGCCAACAAAUGGCACUAAUUCCUUCAUGACUCCCUUUGACAAUAAAUUAAUCUCAAGAAACUUGACAACAUACUUGAAAGAGAUUAAUCACAUAUAGAACAAGUUUUAUUCCACCACAAGAAUGUCAAUACUUAUCAUUACAGAGUCAAUUGCUUGAAAUAGAAAUACUUUAUGUAAUGCAAAAGAACAAUACAUUCCUUUAAUUUAAAAACUAAAUUGCUCAAAUGUUUUCUUAAGUCAAACAGGUUCCUUUUCUUUUGUACAUUUCUUUCCGUAGUACAAGGCUCCUAAAACAUUAGCAUCAAAAUUGUGCAUUAGCCUUGUAAAUACCAAAUUAAAUAAAG
rnacentral:lncRNA from 1 species